rnacentral:lncRNA from 1 species
CGUGCGACGCCCCAAACCCCGAGAAGGGGCGGUGCUAGGGGUGGUGACCGGAAGCCGCUGCGGUUCUCAGCCGGGGGUUCAGAGUUGCUGUCGGGAGGUUGUCGCUGCUGUGUGCUGGAGGGCUGCGGAGGUGAUGGGCGGCCCGGGAGGGUUUCUUGGUGUCUCUGUGGAGUCCCUGGGCCAGACCCCAUAGCGAAGGCUGCAGGAUCUUCUCCGGCCCCAGCAGCUCUGGUUGAGUCCACAGACCCUGCCUGGCCUCAGGCUCCUGGGAAGAGCAGAGUUGUCAGCAAGAGAGCCCGAGGGCUGAGGCCCAGCCGGAACAUGCCAGCUAACCAGAAUUCUCCCGGGCCAUCCCUGGCCCUGACUGCAGGGGGACGUGACAACUCCUGUGAGGGAGCGGCUGAAAGGAGACGAUCUUUCUGGGCACAGCCGUAUUCCUUGACUAAACUGCCUUACUAAGAUGUGUGGAUCAGGAGGACGUGAGCGAGGUGGAGUCUG